rnacentral:lncRNA from 12 species
CCCCCCCCCCCCCCCCCCCCCCCCCCCCCCCCCCCCCCCCCCCCCCCCCCCCCCCCCCCCCCCCCCCCCCCCCCCCCCCCCCCCCCCCCCAGCCCCGCCGCUCCUGCACAGUGCAAGCGGCAGCACAAAGCCGGGGCGCGGGCCCUGUCGGCCCGGCACUCGCCGCCCGCGGGGUGACACCUUGGCCGUGACCCCGCCGGGGCUCGGAGCGGGACAGGACGGCUGAGGCUCGGGGCUGCCGCCUGCCCACGGCAUCGCCCGGCGCCGGGAUCCCGGCGGGACCCGCUGCGAGCGAGCGGGCGGUGUCGCCGGCCGGCGCCAGCUGCCCUCUCUGCCGGCAGCCGCCGAUUGCGCGGCGACCGACCCCCGACCCGAGUGUCUCUUGUUCUCCUGGAGCCGGGCAAGGCCGGCUGCCUGCUCCGGAGGUGCUGCUUUGCCUGCGGCCGGUCUAUGGAAGCCAACAAACCUCAGCGUUUCCUGCGAUUGCACUCCAGACUGGUUGAGGGGGUACUGGUCAGGUAAAAGCAUUCUGAGGUGCAGAGCACCAGUCCCUCUUGGCUCAUCCAGUUCCUUUCCACUGAUCAAAUCUUACCUGUGAAAUCGAUAAUUCGUUUUUCUGCCCUUUAACAUGUUUGUGGCCUAUACCCUUCC